AGAGUUUGAUCCUGGCUCAGGAUGAACGCUGGCGGCACGCCUAACACAUGCAAGUCGAACGGAGUUUAUGGGAGCUUGCUCCUAUAAACUUAGUGGCGGACGGGUGAGUAACACGUGAGCAACCUGCCUUUCAGAGAGGGAUAGCUUCUGGAAACGGAUGGUAAUACCUCAUAACAUAUUGAUACGGCAUCGUAUCAAUAUCAAAGAUUUAUCGCUGAAAGAUGGGCUCGCGUCUGAUUAGCUGGUUGGUGAGGUAACGGCCCACCAAGGCAACGAUCAGUAGCCGGACUGAGAGGUUGAACGGCCACAUUGGGACUGAGACACGGCCCAGACUCCUACGGGAGGCAGCAGUGGGGAAUAUUGCACAAUGGGCGCAAGCCUGAUGCAGCGAUGCCGCGUGAGGGAAGAAGGUUUUCGGAUUGUAAACCUCUGUCAUCGGGGACGAAAAUGACGGUACCCGAGAAGGAAGCUCCGGCUAACUACGUGCCAGCCGCUGC
rnacentral:rRNA from 1 species